rnacentral:rRNA from 1 species
UGAGGAAUCUUCCACAAUGGGCGCAAGCCUGAUGGAGCGACACCGCGUGAAGGAUGAAGCGUUUACUCGUGUAAACUUCUUUUUUGUGGGAAGGUAAUGACGGUACCACAAGAAUAAGGGGCGGCAAACUACGUGCCAGCAGCCGCGGUAAUACGUAGGCCCCAAGCGUUAUCCGGAAUUACUGGGUGUAAAGGGUUUGUAGGCGGGAUGGAAAGUCAGAUGUGAAAGGCUAGGGCUCAACCCUAUGUUUGCAUCCGAAACUCCCAUUCUUGAAUUAGGGAGAGGUAAGCAGAAUCGUAUGAGUAGGGGUGCAAUCCGUUGAUACAUACGAGAAUACCAAAAGCGAAGGCAGCUUACUGGAACUAUAUUGACGCUGAGGAACGAAAGCAUGGGGAGCGAAAAGG